rnacentral:rRNA from 1 species
UGUCAGCAGCCGCGGUAAUACGUAGGUGGCAAGCGUUGUCCGGAAUUAUUGGGCGUAAAGCGCGCGCAGGCGGUCCUUUAAGUCUGAUGUGAAAGCCCACGGCUCAACCGUGGAGGGUCAUUGGAAACUGGAGGACUUGAGUGCAGAAGAGGAAAGUGGAAUUCCAUGUGUAGCGGUGAAAUGCGUAGAGAUGUGGAGGAACACCAGUGGCGAAGGCGACUUUCUGGUCUGUAACUGACGCUGAGGCGCGAAAGCGUGGGGAGCAAACAGGAUUAGAAACCCGCGUAGUCC